rnacentral:lncRNA from 1 species
UCCUCAUGGCUUGCUGAUUGCAGCUCACUCUCUCUCUCUCCCUGUCGAUGAUCACGAGGCAGAUGGAAAAUCUUGUUGUGGUUUUGGGAUGUAUUGAUGCCGAGGAAAAAAAAAAUGGAAUUGGUGGUGCGAGGUCGAGGUGAUAUAAACCGGCACUAAGGAUAGAAAAUACUAGAAUGUGAAGUGGAAAUGGAUUCGGC